AAUCCGUCGACUUUAGAAAUCGUGAGGGUUCAAGUCCC
rnacentral:tRNA from 2 species